GACGAACGCUGGCGGCGUGCCUAAUACAUGCAAGUUGAGCGCUGAAGGUUGGUACUUGUACCCACUGGAUGAGCAGCGAACGGGUGAGUAACGCGUGGGGAAUCUGCCUUUGAGCGGGGGACAACAUUUGGAAACGAAUGCUAAUACCGCAUAAAAACUUUAAACACAAGUUUUAAGUUUGAAAGAUGCAAUUGCAUCACUCAAAGAUGAUCCCGCGUUGUAUUAGCUAGUUGGUGAGGUAAAGGCUCACCAAGGCGAUGAUACAUAGCCGACCUGAGAGGGUGAUCGGCCACAUUGGGAAUGAGACACGGCCCAAACUCCUACGGGAGGCAGCAGUAGGGAAUCUUCGGCAAUGGACGAAAGGCUGACCGAGCAACGCCGCGGGAGGGAAGAAGGGUUUCGGAUCGUAAAACUCGGUUGGUAGAGAAGAACGUUGGUGAGAGUGGAAAGCUCAUCAAGUGACGGUAACUACCCAGAAAGGGACGGCUAACUACGUG
rnacentral:rRNA from 1 species